GACGAACGCUGGCGGCGUGCUUAACACAUGCAAGUCGAACGGAAAGGCCCUGCUUUUGUGGGGUGCUCGAGUGGCGAACGGGUGAGUAACACGUGAGUAACCUGCCCUUGACUUUGGGAUAACUUCAGGAAACUGGGGCUAAUACCGGAUAGGAGCUCCUGCUGCAUGGUGGGGGUUGGAAAGUUUCGGCGGUUGGGGAUGGACUCGCGGCUUAUCAGCUUGUUGGUGGGGUAGUGGCUUACCAAGGCUUUGACGGGUAGCCGGCCUGAGAGGGUGACCGGCCACAUUGCGACUGAGAGACGGCGCAGACUCCUACGGGAGGCAGCAGUGGGGAAGAGUGAACAAUGGGGGGAAGCCUGAUGCAGCAACGCCGCGUGUGGGAUGACGGCCCUCGGGUUGUAGACCGAGUGUGCCUUUGACGAAGCGGGAGUGACGGUAAUGGGUAAAGAAGCACCGGCUAACUACGUG
rnacentral:rRNA from 1 species